CAGCAGCCGCGGGAAUACGAAGGGUGCAAGCGUUAAUCGGAUUCACUGGGUUUAAAGGGUGCGUAGGCGGGCAGGUAAGUCAGUGGUGAAAUCUUCGAGCUUAACUCGGAAACUGCCGUUGAUACUAUCUGUCUUGAAUAACGUUGAGGUGAGCGGAAUAUGUCAUGUAGCGGUGAAAUGCUUAGAUAUGACAUAGAACACCGAUUGCGAAGGCAGCUCACUAAACGCUCAUUGACGCUGAGGCACGAAAGCGUGGGGAUCAAACAGGAUUAGAUACCCUGUAGUCCCUGUCUCUUAUACA
rnacentral:rRNA from 1 species